UACGGAGGGUGCGAGCGUUGUCCGGAAUCAUUGGGCGUAAAGGGCGCGUAGGUGGCCCGGUCAGUUCGUGGUGAAAGCGCGGGGCUCAACCCUGCGUCGGCCAUGAAUACUGCCGCGGCUGGAGCACUGUAGAGGCAGGCGGAAUUCCGGGGUGUAGCGGUGGAAUGCGUAGAGAUCCGGAAGAACACCGGUGGCGAAGGCGGCCUGCUGGGCAGUUGCUGGACACUGAGGCGCGACAGCGUGGGGAGCAAACAGG
rnacentral:rRNA from 1 species